UUUCAGGGAUUUAUUUGAGCAUUGUAUGUAUGUGUGAAACCCUCCCAUUGAGCUCAGUGAGAACUGAAAGAGAUGAUGGGAAGGAUAAGUCUGGUUGGCAAUGCCUGAAAGUCUUUAAGGGAACAGUAGCCCUCCAUACAAGUGAGGGCUGUCCUUUAUUUAGCACAGUUGGUUUGGAACUGAAGGCUGGCUGUGAGUUUGGCUUCAGUAGAUCAUGUCAUUGCACACAGUCAGCAGUGGGGACUCAGUGUAGGGCUUUCAACACCAAAAUCACAGGCUUUGAAUACCUUGGGUGAACACCUAAAGUGAGAAUCCCUGUUUUCAGAAUGGCACAUAAGCUCGUGAAUGCUAUUCCCAGCUCAUGCUGAAAUCAGUUCCUCUGAAAUCAGUGGUAGUUUUUCCUUUAAUAGUAAUGGUGCCUCAUUAUACUUGAUGUGCCUUUGGAAGUGGACUGUGGAAGCUCAUAAAAUUGCAUUAUAAUCUGGUUCUAGUCCUGGGCACAGGUGGUUUAGCAGAAUACAGCUUUGCUGUCAGCUUUUUCUCUUGUACAGUCAUUGGAACAGAUGGUAGAAGGGUUUUUGUUGAUUUUUUUUUAAAAUACAAACCAAUGCUACUUUUUCUUAGGAAAAGCUCAUCUUGUAGAAACUGCAGUGUCUGAGUAAAUUCAAUGAGUAACAGCAUGAUCCAGUUUUUGCAGCCUGAAUAUUAUGGAUCCAUCUGGCCCUGGGAUCAGCCCUUGCUGUCUCAUUGACAGUUAUCUAAAAUAACAGACUUAAAAACAAGAGAAGUAAGUAAUUAUAAAUAGGUAGUACUUGGUUAUGACUAAUUUUUCAGGCACACUAUGACAUAAUGGAGACAAACUGCUCUGUUGUUGGCCACAAUCUCCUACAUCAACAAGCACUUGCUUUGCGCUGCUCUCGGCGGCAGCUCUGCAGCACUGAGCCGGAAUUCCCAGUAAGAGAGGGACCAGUUGGACAUUCUGCUGGAAACACGAGCUGCACUCAAGGCCCAGGAAUGGGCUUCAGGCACUCUGGCAGCGGGUCCUGACUCCAGUGCAGAUUCCUGCUGAGUCCUGUGUCUGUCGGUGCCUCCUCGCUCCGUGUCGGGGGAAUUGUGACUUCCCGACCUCCCAAAUGUGUUGUGUUUGUGGGAGGCUCCAGCCCUGUCGUUCUGGGACCAGCUGUGUAGCUGGAGCCAAGCAGAUUCCUCCAGUAGGUCUUCAGGAGCAAUAGGGCAGAUUUGGGGCAUAGUUAACCUCAACUGAAAGCAUAACUGAGGUCACGUACUUGGGGAGGAAGUUUUUGUGUGUUUGUGAUGGGUGUUGCUGACAAUAAUCUUCCUCUUUCACACUGACUUAGGAAAGCUGUUUUAGUAAAUACCUGAGAGGCAUUUCUGCCUUGACACUUCCCUUGACCCCCAGCAUAUUUCCCUAUAAUCCAAACCCUCUGCACAAUACCCACACUGCACAAUCCUCAUUCCAAGAGACCAUAUGCUUCAUUGCCUUAAGCAGUUCUGCUCUUCCCUGCUUGCUUAUUGGAAUGGUUGUUCAUGUAGAUAUAAUAAUAACUCAAAUGACUGAGCAGAAAUACAGUAAAAGAAAUAUAUAUAUAUAUAUUUAUGCAGAAAUACAGUAAAAAAAUGGCUGUAGGUUGGGAGUGACCUCAGAAAGGGGGACACUGCAAUGUGCUAUUGAGGCACAAAACACAUUGACAUGUCAUGGGCAGCUGAGGAAAUCCAGCCUUUUACAUCUUCUCUUGAGAGCAAGGACUGAGCUGCUGUGUUGCCAUGAGAAAACUGCUAAUAAUUCCUGUCUUUUUUUGUGUCUGCUUUAGUUCUGUGCAGAAGUACAUAUCUGUUUAUCUACAGCUCCUUAUUCACAGCACAUGAAGCUUGUUGAAGAAGGAAUAACAUUGUCUGUUAGUGCACUAAUUCUAGAGAUAUCUGUGCAGCUUCUCUUCACGUAUCCCUAAAGCCUGGGAUGGUGCAGGACUGCAUUACAGCCCCAUGUCACAAAUGAUGGAGAGACAUUUUUGGGUACAAGAGGCUUGGGAUGUCCUCUCUGGUUUUGGUCUAGUUAUAUAUAUGUAAAUAUACAUAUAUGUAAAAAUAUCUAUACUGUCAUUAGCAGUGCCCUGCGUGGGGCUGUGAAAGCAAUGCUCUCCUUUAGCCUGGGUUGGCAUGACUUGAUUUUUGAAGCCUAGUUCCUUGGAUGCUCCAUGACUGUGCUUAAGGGUAAAUUCAUCACUUGAAUCCUACAGCUGGUGACUUGAAUAAAUUAAAGCUAAUGUGGUGGUCAGACUAGCACAGUGCAGUGGGCUGAUUUUCACCUGAAGGUUCUUAAAAUUCCCCUAGGAAAUGCAUGAAUACAUUGGCAGAAAUUUGACUGAAUGAGCUCAGUAACAUCAUUUGGAAAAGAGAAAAAGCCACGAUGCCAUUUUGCCUGAUCCAUAUGUAGAGCAAUUUACAAAUUGCUACACACACAUAUAUAUACACAUACAUUUACAUGCAUAUGUAUGUGCAAAGAUAUUUAUAAAACCAACCACAGCCUUUCAAUUGUGUGUGCUGUGAUUCAUCAGCAGCAAUGGUUUUUGGCAGGGACAUAAUUUCAAAUCUUCUGCUGAGGAUGCCUGCCAAAACAUUGUUGGACAGAGAUAGGACGAGAAAAGUUAUUUAUAAAUGGGGAUAAUUAGGUCCUGUGGUUAUUAGUGUAGGGAACGAGACAGAGAGACGACAUGUGCAGUAACGAGUAUUGUAAUAUGAGGAGAUGCUCUCCAUGAUUUUCUAUUUGAUGACUGAAAAAAUAAAAAAAAUCAAAAUCUCUCAGGUGAAAUAACAUGUGGUGCUCUCAGCUGGGAGAGUCAUACUGUGGGACUGUGUGUGUCACGCAGGUCUCAGACUAAUGGAAGCUUGGAAUCCUUCCACAGGAUCCAGGUGCUGACUGUCAUAACUGAGGUUGGACUCUGUUUCCUCGGUCCUGGACUUUGCAUUUUGUGUUCAGGCAAAAAUAAAUCCUGAUCAGACAUAGGAGCUGUACUAAUUCCUCUUAUUUGGAAGCAGUGUCAGGAGAGAGCAGUGCUGGGGGUGAUGCUCAUCGUCUCUGCCAGCAGAGUCAGUCAUGCACGUUACACCCCUUUGUUCUUCAGAAAUACUGUCACUGGGACAAAUUCAUCUUUGCACUGGCCUUCUCCCUAGAGGUACAAAUCCAGUGACCACAGAGUGCAGUUCAUCCCCACAGGGUGUGAAAGGAGCCCGUGCUCACACAGACUCUGCCCAGCACCCAGGACAAUGCUCGCAGGACAUUCACUGCACAGGAGUUGGUCACAUGGGUCUGAGGCAGGCCAGGAUGACAUCAAUAUUUCCUUUAAGAAGGCCAACAGUAAAUCCUCAGUGUGUGUCUGAAUACAUGUGGAUCAAAUGACAUAAUGUUAACUUUUCUCUCUCUCUGUUUCUCUUUUGAAAAUAAACUUGCACUUUUUUUUUUUUU